UUCUAGAGAGAGAGAGAGCAAGAGAGAAGUGAGAGUGAGAGAGAGUGAAAUGAGAGGGUGUGAGGGAGAGAGAGGGCUCAGCCCACUCAAAUAAAGGCCAUUUUGUAUAAAAGCCCCUCAACUUUAACUCCUGUGCACUGCCUUCACUGGGCAGUUUUCGCGCGGAGGGACCGGUCUCCCCGACUUGGGACCGGUCCCCGAGAGCUUCCCUCGGGCGCACGCGUUCGGGAACCGGUCUCUCCCCGGGAGACCGGUCCUCGGGAGACCGGUCCUCACCUGAGAGACCGGUCCCCGAGAGCUAAAUCUUCAGGACUUAGCCAAUUUUUGGCAUCUCUCGCUGGGACAACGUUCGGGAACCGGUCCCUCCUUACCAGGGACCGGUUGCAUCAAGCAACCCCACUACACCCAGUCAGGGGA
rnacentral:lncRNA from 1 species